ensembl:misc_RNA Metazoa_SRP Metazoan signal recognition particle RNA
GCUGGGAGCGGUGGUGCGUGCCUUUACUCCCAGCUACUCGGGAGGCUGAGGUGGGAGGAUCGCUUGAGCCCAGGAGUUCUGGGCUGCAGUGCGCUAUGCCGAUCGGGUGUCCGCACUAAGUUCGGCAUCAAUAUGGUGACCUCCCAGGAGCGGGGGACCACCAAGUUGCCUAAGGAGGGGUAAACCGGCCCAGGUCGGAAAGGGAGAAGGUCAAAACUCCCCUGCUGAUCAGUAGUGGGAUCGCGCCUGUGAAUAGCCACUGCACUCCAGCCUGGGCAACGUAUCGAGACCCCAUCUCUU